UACGUAGGGUGCAAGCGUUAAUCGGAAUUACUGGGCGUAAAGCGUGCGCAGGCGGUUAUGUAAGACAGAUGUGAAAUCCCCCGGGCUCAACCUGGGAAUUGCAUUUGUGACUGCACGGCUAGAGUGUGUCAGAGGGGGGUAGAAUUCCACGUGUGAGCAGUGAAAUGCGUAGAGAUGUGGAGGAAUACCGAUGGCGAAGGCAGCCCCCUGGGAUAACACUGACGCUCAUGCACGAAAGCGUGGGGAGCAAACAGG
rnacentral:rRNA from 1 species